ACGUAGGGGGCAAGCGUUGUUCGGAAUUACUGGGCGUAAAGGGCAUGUAGGCGGUUUAGUAAGCUUGGCGUGAAAGACCACAGCUCAACUGUGGGGUUGCGUUGAGAACUGCUGAACUUGAGUUACGGAGAGGGAGCUAGAAUUCCUGGUGUAGGGGUGGCAUCUGGAUAUAUGAGGAAGAAGACCGAUGGCGAAGGCAAGCUUCUGGGCGAUAACUGACGGUGAGGUGCGAAAUUGUGGGGAGCAAACAG
rnacentral:rRNA from 1 species